rnacentral:misc_RNA from 1 species
UGAUGGUUUUGAGCUAACGAAAUAAUUUCAUGUUUGCAGGGUAAAGUUUGUUUGAGAAAUAAUGCAGUUUGUUGGCAAAGAGGUGAUGUUUGAAUUAACAUGUAGGAAAUUUUUUGGUGGUUUUGGGUUUAAAAUUUAAAGGUUUUUUUAGCAUAGGGGCAUUCUUUGGUGCAAGAGAAGCCUUAAGGUUGUGGCCUCUAAGUUGUGGGUUUGAGUUGUUGGGGCUACCAUUCCAAGCAAAAAAAAACUGAAGUGUGGAACUUCCUAAGUUGUUCUCAGGUAUCGCUGCCCUGUUGAGACCAUGAUGGGGAGAUAUUUUAAUGCCUUUUUUUUUAUGGUUUAUUGAAUGACUCUUACAGGGUGGAUAAUUAGGAGGAGCACAUACAGACUCAUAAAAAUAACUAAAGUGAGUUGGUACUUGCAUUCUCUUCUUUGCCAUAUCAUGGUUUAGGAUUUGGAUAAUUCCUUAACUAUGAAGAAAACUUGAAUCCUUAAAACUUCAUAGAAUGAUAGAAGACUGCACUUAAAUUAUCUAAUUAAAUUGCAAUAAGAUGAAAUGACUUUCAUCUCCUGUUUCCAGAAUACUAAUAAAUAAUAGUUGAAGUCUUGUGCUUAAAGUUUUUUAAUCCUCAAUCUUUUACAACUGGACCUAUCAAAGGUUAUAAAAACUUCCAUUGUAUGUUGGACUGUUGGAUGACAUUCCUGCACAAGAAAAACCUGAAGUUGCCAAAUCUGAGAAUAAGGUGAAAAUGGCAGUGAUAUGUUUGUCCCAUUGCUGCAUUAUCUGACCUCUGAUUCCAUGAGUAAAACUCAUUGUUUAUGCUGCUUGAGGGCUACUACAUACUUAUUUCUGUUUACAACAUUGCUUAUGGAUAUAAACAUGUUUCUUUAUUUAUCUGUGAUCUCUACUUUUUGAUACGCUUACAUUAUUAAUCUGUUUCUCAGGUAUGCUGACUUGAAGAACAACAG